GGAAUUUUAAGAAUGGAUCCUCCUGAAUGAGGGACUCUUCACUUCUGAUAAGAGUCCAACUUUUAAGUUCUGGUUGUGUUCCAGUCCUUCGGUUCCAUGGAAGGAGAGAUCUUUGGCCCUAUGGUCAUUUCAGCCUUACAGUCUCCUUCCGCCAUUCCUUAUUGGACCCUAACACAGAGCCAAUUGUCACAGCAGAAACAUGAUUUGCAGAAUCCUGUCACAAAACCAGGUAUGAAAAGAAAAGAGGAAAUGUGCCUAUAAUGUCAAUAUAAAAAGAAUUGGUGAAAAUCCGAGAGAAAACCACUAAGAUUCCUCAAAUAAACAAGUUAUAGAUAUGAAUAAAUACAUCACAAUGGAAAGU